AUGAACGCUGGCGGCGUGCUUAAUACAUGCAAGUCGAACGGGAAAUGCAGCAAUGUAUUUCUAGUGGCGAAUGGGUGCGUAACACGUGGGUGACGUGCCCCGAAGUGUGGAAUAACAGCUCGAAAGAGCUGCUAAUACCACAUGUGGUCUUGGUGCUUAGAAAGCCAAGUCUAAAGCAUCCCCUUCGGGGAAUGCGCUUCGGGAGCGGCCUGCGGUCCAUCAGCUAGUUGGUAGGGUAAUGGCCUACCAAGGCUACGACGGAUAGGGGACCUGAGAGGGUGGCCCCCCACACUGGCACUGACACACGGGCCAGACGCCUACGGGUGGCAGCAGUAAGGAAUAUUGCUCAAUGGGCGAAAGCCUGAAGCAGCAACGCCGCGUGCAUGAUGAAGGCCUUCGGGUCGUAAAAUGCUUUUCGGGGAGAUGAGGAAGGACAGUAUCCCCGGAAUAAGGUACGGCUAACUACGU
rnacentral:rRNA from 1 species